UACGUAGGGAGCGAGCGUUGUCCGGAAUUACUGGGCGUAAAGGGUGCGUAGGCGGCAUGGCAAGUCAGAUGUGAAAUACCCGGGCUUAACCCGGGGGGUGCAUUUGAAACUGCUGUGCUUGAGUGCAGGAGAGGAAAGCGGAAUUCCUAGUGUAGCGGUGAAAUGCGUAGAUAUUAGGAGGAACACCAGUGGCGAAGGCGGCUUUCUGGACUGUAACUGACGCUGAGGCACGAAAGCGUGGGGAGCAAACAGGAUUAGAUACCCUGGUA
rnacentral:rRNA from 1 species